rnacentral:lncRNA from 1 species
UGGUCAUGUAAAGGGUUGCAGUCGCAGAUAACAUUAACAGGAAUAAUCAAGUCAUUCUUAAGCAGGGAUAUUUUUAUGCUGUCUUCUGGUUGAUAAAUAAAGUUUUUGAUGAGCUGAAGACGCAAAAAGAGAUUUAUGUAUCUAGACGAAAAUAAUGGAUAGAAUACAAAACAGAACUUUGUUUAUCUAGUAUAGUGGGUAUUUUCCUUAGACCAUUAUGAAUUUUUUUUUAACUAACCUCUGUUAUUUGAUUUUUUGCCUCAGUGAAAAAGGAUAUUGAGUUGACACGUAGGCUUACCGGAAUAGGAAGGCCUUUGUGAGAGCACAGACCGACAGUGAAAAACAUUGUUGCUAUAUAUAAACUUGACAUUCUUCGAAGAAGCCAUUGCUACUUGUAUACCUGAAUUUGAAAUUUAAAUUAGGUACUAGGCUAACUCGCAUAUUGUCAAUAGUAAUGUUUGUAGGUGAAAAAUCUUUUGUAGAUGAACCAUCAUUGUAGAUAAAUGGUUUACUACCGAGUCUGACUGAGAAUUGAUGAGUAACUUGCAAUUUAAAUUGUAGCCAUUGUAUUAUUUCAAAGAUUAUUGUCGUUCAUAUAUUUACUUCAUGUGGUAGAAGGAAUUCAUGUAGUUUAAGUGCUUGUUUGUUUACUAUUCUGAAAAUACAUUCUUUCAAGUUUGUCUUCUGUAUCUUUUCUUACUAUCACAAUUGUUACUAUAUGAUCUUUUAUCUCAUUGUUAGUAAUGUAAUAUAUGAACAUAAGUUUUAGUAAAUUUUUUUUUUUUUAAGCAAAAUUGGAAAUGUAGAAGUG